rnacentral:rRNA from 1 species
UGCAGUCGACGGACUUAAUCGAAUAUUUAUAUUUUGAAGCGGUUAGUGGCGGACUGGUGAGUAACGCGUAAGGAACCUGCCUAUUAGAGGGGAAUAACAGUGAGAAAUCAUUGCUAAUACCGCAUAUGCCAUAGAUAUCACAUGAUAACAGUGGGAAAGGAGCAAUCCGCUAAUAGAUGGCCUUGCGUCUGAUUAGAUAGUUGGUGGGGUAACGGCCUACCAAGUCGACGAUCAGUAGCCGGACUGAGAGGUUGAACGGCCACAUUGGGACUGAGAUACGGCCCAGACUCCUACGGGAGGCAGCAGUCGGGAAUAUUGCGCAAUGGAGGAAACUCUGACGCAGUGACGCCGCGUAUAGGAAGAAGGCUUUCGGAUUGUAAACUAUUGUCGUUAGGGAAGAGAAAGGACAGUACCUAAGGAGGAAGCUCCGGCUAACUACGUGCCAGCAGCCGCGGUAAUACGUAGGGAGCGAGCGUUAUCCGGAAUUAUUGGGUGUAAAGGGUGCGUAGACGGGAGAACAAGUUAGUUGUGAAAUACCUCGGCUCAACUGAGGAACUGCAACUAAAACUGUACUUCUUGAGUGCAGGAGAGGUAAGUGGAAUUCCUAGUGUAGCGGUGAAAUGCGUAGAUAUUAGGAGGAACACCAGUGGCGAAGGCGACUUACUGGACUGUAACUGACGUU